rnacentral:rRNA from 1 species
CCUACGGGAGGCAGCAGUAGGGAAUCUUCCACAAUGGACGAAAGUCUGAUGGAGCAACGCCGCGUGAGUGAAGAAGGGUUUCGGCUCGUACAGCUCUGUUGGUAGUUAAGAAAGAUAUAGUUAUUAACUGGCCUUUAUUUGACGGUACUUACUUAGACAGUCCCGGCUAACUACGUGCCAGCAGCCGCGGUAAUACGGAGGGUGCGAGCGUUAUUCGGAAUUACUUGGCGUAAAGCGCUCGUAGGCGGUAUGUCAAGUCAAGGGUGAAAUCCCCGCGCGCAACGUGGUAACUGCCUUGGAAACUGGCAAACUGGAGUGUGUGAGAGGAGAGUGGAAUUCCAGGUGUAGGAGUGAAAUCCGUAGAUAUAUGGAGGAACACCAGUGGCGAAGGCGACUAUCUGGCACAUAACUGACGCUGAGGAGCGAAAGCGUGGGUAGCAAACAGGAUUAGAUACCCGAGUAGUC